rnacentral:lncRNA from 1 species
CAUCAUUUCUAGUCCGUGACUGGUGUUGUCCUGCUCUGGCCCUGUGGAAGGCAGAAUAGCUUCUCUGGGGUGGUUCCGCCCCUUUUCAAAGCAUAUUGUUCAUCUGCAUGGUUCCUAGCCGCUGGUAGGAUUCUAUAUCUUUCCCCUGGGCCACAGCAAGAAGAACUGGACAUCUCUCCAUGAUAAAUCCAAGGUCAAAGUUUGGAACCAGUACAGUAUAAGUGGCUACAGCAGAACUGGAAAGAACUCUUGUGGGCCCCCGAAGUUACACUCAGGGCAUCCACUGGAAAUUUCUAUGGACUUUUUUUUUAAUGCUUCUAAAAGUAUAUAAUCUUUUUUUUUUCUUUUUUUGUAUGGGGGAUCAAACUCAGGACCUUGUGCUUGCAAGGCAGGAGGUAGCACCACCGAGCUAAACUCCCGGUCCUAAAAGUACAUAAUCUUAUAAAUACUACGCACAAUACUUGUACCUGUACUUCACUCUAUACAGAAUAACUCUGAAGUUGCUAUGCUUUUAUGCAGUGAGAAUUGUUUUGUUUUAUUAGUUUUUUUGUUGCUGCACUUAAAAAUUUAUUGUAGACAGGCAAAUUCAGGUAGUGUCUAAAUAUAAUCAGCCACAUUAUUUUGACAUAUACAUUAGGGGCGAUGCAACCCUCUUACAUAUAAGAAGCUUCAAUCAAGACAAAAAUUUGUAAGUCAUAAAAACAUCCAAAAGACAGAGUUGAGUGUGGCUUAGAAGAGGAAGAGAAAGAUAGCUUCGAAAGAGGAGCAAAAAGAGAAAUCCCCUGGGGAAAUUACUUCAACAGCUACACAGGGAGAGGUUGUGAAAGCAGACAGCUCCAUGCUGGGAAAAGCUACUGGGGUUUGUUCAUCUUUGAUACAUCGAAAGCCGUAUCCCCCACCCCAAGAAGAUUGAUACUGGAAGUAACGCAGAUGAAAAAUUAGAGGUUCAGCUUUUAAAGCACUGGGAGAGAGAGGAAAAGGAUUAUGACUGAGACGAAUUAAAGACAGAAAAUAAAGCUGAGUGCAAUAGCACCUGACUGUAGUCCCAGCUACUCAGAAGGCUGAGGCAGGUGGACCUCUUUGAUCCCAGGGAUUUGAGGUCACCUUGGGCAACAUAACAAGAGCCAAAAAAUAAGAUAGAAAAUAUAUUUACAUUUUGGUACUUGAAUGCUUUUAUAUUUGCUGUAUUUAUUUACUGUGGCCACA